CUCAGACAUUGAAAGACCCAGAUCCUUAUACCUGCUCCAGAUCCUACCUCCACAGACAUGGACAGACCCAGAUCCUCAUACUCAUGCCAGAUCCUACCUCCUCAGACACGGGCACAUCCAGAUCCUACCUCCUCAGACACGGGCAGACCCAGAUCCUACCUCCUCAGACAUGCACAGAUCCAGAUCCUACCUCCUCAGACAUGGACAGAUUCAGAUCUUACCUCUUCACACAUUGACAGACCCAGAUCUUCAUGCCUAUAACAGAUUCCUACCUUCUCAGACAUGGAGAGACCCAGAUCCUCAUACCUGUACUAGAUUCCUACCUGCGCCAGAUCCUACCUCCUCAGACAUGGACAGACCCAGAUCCUCACACUUGUACCAGAUCCUACCUGCUCAGACAUAGAGAGACCCAGAUCCUCACACCUGUACCAGAUCCCACCUCCUCAGACAUGGACAGACCCAGAUCCUCACACUUGUACCAGAUCCUACCUGCUCAGACAUAGAGAGACCCAGAUCCUCACACUUGUACCAGAUCCUACCUCCUCAGACAUUGACAGACCCAGAUCCUCAUACCAGUGCCAGAUCCUACCUCCUCACAUACUGACAGAUCCAGAUCCUUAUAUGGGCACCCAGAUCCUACCUCCUCAGACACUGACAGUCCCAGAUCCUCAUAAUCCUCCUAAUCAGGGCCAGAUCCUACUGUCUCAGACAUGAGCAACCCAGAGCCUUAUAAGGGGGCCAGAUCCUACCUUCUCAGACACUGACAAACCAGAUCCUCUUACCUGUAUCUACACCCAGAUCCUAUCUCCUCAGAUACUGACAGACCCAAAUCCUCAUAAGCCUCAUACCAGGGCCAGAUCCUACCUUCUCAGACAUGGACAGACCCAGAUCCCCAUACCAGGGCCAGAUCCUACCUCCUCAGACACUGACAGACCCAGAUCCUCAUACCUGUACCAAAUUCCCACCUCCUCAGAUAUAGACAGACCCAGAUCUUCACGCCUGUACCAGAUCCUACCUCCUUGAACAUAGAUAGACCCAGAUCCUCAUACCUGUACCAGAUCCUACUUCCUCAGACAUGGAGAGACCCAGAUCCUUAUACUUGCGCCAGAUCCUACCUCUGCAGACAUGGACACACCCAGAUCCUCAUACUCAUGCCAGAUCCUACCUCCUCAGACACGGGCAGAUCCAGAUCCUACCUCCUCAGACAUGGGGAGACACAGAUCCUCAUCCCAGGGCCAAAUCUUACCUCUUUACACAUUGACAGACCCAGAUCUUCAUGCCUGUGACAGAUUCCUACCUCUUCAGACAUGGAGAACCCAGAUCCUCAUACCUGUACUAGAUUCCUACCUCCUCAGAUAUUGAGAGACUCAGAUCCUCAUACCAGGGCCAGAUCCUACCUUCUCAGACAUUGAAAGAUCCAGAUCCUUGUAUCUGUGCCAGAUCCUACCUCCUCAGGCACGGACAGACCCAGAUCCUCAUACUCAUGCCAGAUCCUACCUGCUCAGACACAGAGAGACCCAGAUCCUCACACCUGUACCAGAUCCUACCUCCUCAGACACUGACAGACCCAGAUCUUCACACCUGAACCAGAUCCUACCUCUUCAGACACUGACAGACCCAGAUCCUCAUACCAGCACCAGAUCCUACCUCUCCAGAUACUGACAGAUCCAGAUCCUUAUACGGGCACCCAGAUCCUACCUCCUCAGAUACUGACAGACCCAGACCCUCAUAAUCCUCCUAUCAGGGCCAGAUCCUACCUUCUCAGACAUGGGCAACCCAGAGCCUCAUACCAGGGCCAGAUCCUACCUCCUCAGACACUGAUAGACCCAGAUCCUACCUUCUCAGAUACUGACAGACCUAAAUACUCAUAAGCCUCAUACCAGGGCCAGAUCCUACCUUCUCAGACAUGGACAGACCCAGAUCCUCAUACCAGGGCCAGAUCCUACCUCCUCAGAUAUUGACAAACCCAGAUCCUCAUACCUGUACCAGAUCCUACUUCCUCAGACAUGGAGAGACCCAGAUCCUUAUACCUGUGCCAGAUCCCACCUCUGCAGACAUGGAGAGACCCAAAUCCUCAUACUGAUGCGAGAUCCUACCUCCUCAAACAUGGACAGACCCAGAUCCUACCUCCUCAGACAUGAACAGACCCAGAUCCUACCUCCUCAGACAUGGAGAAACCUUGACCUUCCUCAGACAUGGACAGACCGAGAUCCUCAUACUUCUAUGAUUCCUGCCUCCUCAGACAUUGACAGACCCAGAUGCUCACACCAAGGCCAGAACCUACCUUCUCAGA